rnacentral:rRNA from 1 species
AGCAGCCGCGGUAAUUCCAGCUCCAAUAGCGUAUAUUAAAGUUGUUGCAGUUAAAAAGCUCGUAGUUGAAUUUCGGGAUCAAUACGUCGGUCGUGCUUCGGUACGUACUGGCGUAAUUGAUUUCUCCCUUCUGACGAACCAUGAUGUCAUUAACUUGGUGUCAUGGGAAAUCAGGACUGUUACUUUGAAAAAAUUAGAGUGUUUAAAGCAGGCUUUAGCUUGAAUACAUUAGCAUGGAAUAAUGAAAUAGGACGUUUGAUCCUAUUUUGUUGGUUUCUAGGAUUGACGUAAUGAUUAAUAGGGAUAGUUGGGGGCAUUAGUAUUCAAUUGUCAGAGGUGAAAUUCUUGGAUUUAUUGAAGACUAACUACUGCGAAAGCAUUUGCCAAGGAUGUUUUCAUUAAUCAAGAACGAAAGUUAGGGGAUCGAAGACGAUCAGAUACCGUCGUAGU